rnacentral:rRNA from 1 species
UUACACAUGCAAGUCGAGCGGGGACUUCGGCCCUAGCGGCGAACGGGUGAGGAAUGCUUGGGAAUCUGCCCAGUAGUGGGGGAUAACGUUUCGAAAGGAACGCUAAUACCGCAUACGUCCUACGGGAGAAAGGGGGGGAUCUUCGGACCUCUCGCUAUUGGAUGAGCCCAAGUCGGAUUAGCUAGUUGGUGAGGUAAAGGCUCACCAAGGCGACGAUCCGUAGCUGGUCUGAGAGGAUGAUCAGCCACACUGGAACUGAGACACGGUCCAGACUCCUACGGGAGGCAGCAGUGGGGAAUAUUGGACAAUGGGCGAAAGCCUGAUCCAGCCAUGCCGCGUGUGUGAAGAAGGCCUUCGGGUUGUAAAGCACUUUAAGCGAGGAGGAAUGGCUUUUGGUUAAUAACCUUGAGCAGUGACGUUACUCGCAGAAUAAGCACCGGCUAACUCUGUGCCAGCAGCCGCGGUAAUACAGAGGGUGCAAGCGUUAAUCGGAAUUACUGGGCGUAAAGCGCGCGUAGGCGGUUGUAUAAGUUGGGUGUGAAAUCCCCUGGGCUCAACCUGGGAAUUGCACUCAAAACUGUACGGCUAGAGUGUGGGAGAGGAAGGUAGAAUUCCAGGUGUAGCGGUGAAAUGCGUAGAUAUCUGGAGGAAUACCGAUGGCGAAGGCAG